GCAGCAUAUUUUCAUUUAUGAUAGAAGUCGACUGAAUUCUACGAAUUGUAAACUGAAAGAUGGCUCAUCCUAACGGGAUAUUUACAUACACGUCGUCCGUUCCUAUUGAGGCUGAUGAUGAGCGCAGAAAUUACUUUCGCAUGAAGAAGGAAGAAUUAGAAUGUAAAGAGCAAGAGCUGGCCACAGAGGCCAAGAGGCUUGAGGUUUCGAAGGCAAGUCUAGCUAUCGAAAAUAUGCGUGAGAAGCAUAGACUCAAAGUCGAGGAGCUACAAAUAAAGAUAAGGAUACUACAGGAGCAGGAGGAGGAUUUGUGAGGAUUUGUGAGGAUAACACAUAACAUAAAAUUAUUUUCAACGACAAUUCGAGCUAAAUACCGACACUGAAUGCUAAAUGCACAGAUUAAAAUACCAAACCAAAAGUUUAAAUGUAUGUUACUUUAGAUAUUCACUACCUCAAUAAAGAUAAAGCCAAAGUCUA